rnacentral:rRNA from 1 species
AGAGUUCGAUCCUGGCUCAGGAUAAACGCUGGCAGCAUGCUUAACACAUGCAAGUUGGACGGGAAGUCGUGUUUCUAGUGGCGGACAGUUGAGUAACGCGUAAGAACCUGCCCUUGGGAGGGGAGUAACAGCUGGAAACGACUACUAAUACCCCGUAGGCUGAGGAGCAAAAGGAGGAAUCCGCCUGAGGAGGGGCUCGCGUUUGAUUAGCUAGUUGGUGAGGAAAUGGCUUACCAAGGCGAUGAUCAGUAGCUGGUCCGAGAGGAUGAUCAACCACACUGGGACUGAGACACGGCCCAGACUCCUCCGCAAUGGACGAAAGCCUGAUGGAGCAAUGCCGCGUGGAGGUAGAAGGCCCACAGGUCGUGAACUUUUUUUCUCGGAGAAGAAGCAAUGACGGUAUCUGGGGAAUAAGCAUCGAUAAUACAGAGGAUGCAAGCGUUAUCUGGAAUGAUUGGGUGUAAAGCGUUUGUAGGUGGCUUUUUAAGUCCGCCGUUAAAUCCCAGGGCUCAACGCUGGACAGGCGGUGGAAACUACCAAGCUAGAGUAUGGUAGGGGUACAGGGAAUUUCUGGUGGAGCGGUGAAAUGUGUAGAGAUUGGAAAGAACACCAACGGCAAAACCACUCUGUUGGGCCGACACUGACACUGAGAAAUGAAAGCUAGGAGAACAAAUGGAAUUAGAUACCCCAAUAGUCCUAGCUGUAAAUGAUGGAUACUAGGCUCUGUGCGUAUCGACCCAUGCAGUGUUGUAGCUAACGUGUUAAGUAUCCCGCCUGAGGAGUACGUUCGCAAGAAUGAAACUCAAAGGAAUUGACGGGGCCCAGCACAAGCGGUGGAGCAUGUGGUUUAAUUCGAUACAAAGCGAAGAACCUUACCAGGGCUUGGUAUGCCGCGAACCCUCUUGAAAGAAAGGGGUGCCUUCAGGAACGUAGAUACAGGUGGUGCAUGGGUGUCAUCAACUCGCGCCGUAAGGUGUUGGGUUAAGUCCCACAAUGAGGGCAACCCUCGUGCUUAGUUGCCAUCUUGAGUUUGGAACCCUGAACAGACUGCAGAUGAUAAAUCGAUAGAAGGUGAGGAUGACGUCAAGUCAUCAUGCCCCUUAUGCCUUGGGCGACACACGUGCUACAAUGGCUGGGACAAAGGGUCGCAAUCCCGCAAGAGUGAGCUAACCCCAAAAACUCGUCCUCAGUUCGGAUUGCAGGCUGCAACUCGCCAGCAUGAAUCCGAAAUCGCUAGUAAUCGCUGGUCAGCUAUACGGCAGUGAAUCCGUUCCCGAGCCUUGUACACACCGCCCGCACACUAUGGGAGCUGGCCAUGCCUGAAGUCGUUGCCUUAACUACAAGGAGGGGGAUGCCGAAGGCAGGGCUAGUGAUUGGAGUAAAGUCGUAACAAAGUAGCCGUACUGGAAGGUGCUGCUA